GCCUACGGGGGGCAGCAGUGGGGAAUAUUGCACAAUGGAGGGAACUCUGAUGCAGCGACGCCGCGUGAGUGAAGAAGUAAUUCGUUAUGUAAAGCUCUAUCAGCAGGGAAGAAAAUGACGGUACCUGACUAAGAAGCCCCGGCUAACUACGUGCCAGCAGCCGCGGUAAUACGUAGGGGGCAAGCGUUAUCCGGAUUUACUGGGUGUAAAGGGAGCGUAGACGGCCGUUCAAGCCAGAUGUGAAAGCCCGGGGCUCAACCCCGGGACUGCAUUUGGAACUGUGCGGCUAGAGUGUCGGAGAGGCG
rnacentral:rRNA from 1 species